AAGGUGAUACCAGGCCGCAGCUGCGUAUGU
rnacentral:sRNA from 1 species